AUGGAAAGAUUUUUGGUGAGCGCAUCCACUGGAGCCAUGGGCUCUGUCCUAAGAAAGUUGGGCACUAUGUUGAGUGAUGAAUACAAGCUGCUCAAGGGUGUUCGUAAGGACAUCAAGUUCCUCAAGGACGAGCUUGAGGCCAUGCAAGCAUUCCUCAUCAUGAUGGCAGAAGAGGAGGAACCGGAUGAGCAAGCUAAGAUCCGUGCGAAUGCCGUGAGAGAGAUGUCUUACGAGAUCGAGGACAACAUCGACAAGUUCAUGGUACUUGUGGAAGGUGAGCCUAGUUCCAAAUCAGAUGGCUUGAUGAAGCUUUUCAACAAAAGCAUGAACAAGAUAGCAGAUGUCAAGAUCCGUCAUAAAAUCGCCAAGGACAUCCAAGACAUCAAGAGCCAAGUGAAGGAGAUCUGCAGUAGAUAUAGGAGGUACAAAAUCGAUGAGUCCUCAAAAGCUAGAAAUGCAAAUGUUGACCCACGAAUUGUGGCAAUAUAUAGAGAUGCAUCUGGGCUUGUCGGCAUUGAUGGUCCAAGAGAUGAGCUCGUGGAGUGGCUGAGUGACCAGGAGGGUGAAUUGCCACAUCGACAAAGAGUUGUCUCAGUUGUCGGAUAUGGUGGGUUAGGCAAGACAACCCUUGCCAAACAGGUCUAUGACCAGCUUGGAGCAAACUAUGACUGUCAAGCUUUUGUGUCAGUCUCACGAAAUCCUGAUAUGACAAAAAUUUUGAGUUCAAUAUUAUCUGAAAUCAGCAAUGGAAAAGAGGAUGCAAGGGAAAGGCAUCAGCAAAUCAUCGACCAGAUCAGGAAAUUCCUUCAAGAUAAAAGGUACUUUAUCAUAAUUGAUGAUGUAUGGGAUGUAAAAGCAUGGAGAACUUUGGAAUGUGCAUUGGUGAGGAACAAUUGUGGUAGUGUAGUAAUGACCACAACACGUAUAAAUGAAGUCGCUAAGUCAUGCUGCUCUUCUGAAGGGGAUUUUUUGUACAAAAUCCAACCACUUGAUGUUUCUGACUCGAAGAAGUUGUUUUUUAACCGCAUAUUUGGUUGUGAAGAAAAGUGCCCAGAUGACUUGAAAGAAGCCUCAGAAGAUAUCUUAAAAAAAUGUGGUGGUUUACCACUCGCCAUCAUUGCAAUAUCCAGCUUGUUGGCUACUGGGAAAACGAAACAGGAGUGGAAUAAGGUUCACAGUUCUAUUGUCUUUGCACAAGGAAAAAAUGAUGAUAUUGAUGCAAUGAAUUACAUACUGUCCCUGAGCUACUUUGACCUUCCCCUCCAUCUCAGAAGUUGCCUAUUGUACUUGAGUAUGUUUCCAGAGGAUCACUAUAUUGAAAGGCGAAGGUUAGUCCACAGAUGGAUUUCGGAAGGUUUCAUACACGGUGAAUAUGGGGAUGAUCUUAUUGAUAUAGGAGAGGCAUAUUUCCAUGAGCUUGUCAACAGAAGUUUAGUACAACCGGUGGAGAUAGAGUAUGAUGGCAAGGCAUGUUUCUGCGUAGUGCAUGACACUGUUCUUGAUUUCCUCAUUCACAAGUGUACCGGAGAGAACUUUUGUACCUUGUCAACCAAUCCUUCAAAGCCAGAGAGCAAAGUUCGUCGGCUCGCUCUGGUGGGAAAUGAUGAUGAAGGGAAGGUCGAGCAAUUGAAUUUAUCACAUGCUCGGUCACUCGUUGCAUUUGGGAGCUCCCGUGAAUAUUUUCCGUCUCUUGCCAAGACAAAUGCUCUGCGUGUCCUAGACCUACAGGAUUGCAGUUUACUAGCAAAUAAUCAUAUCAAAGAUGUUGGAAGACUUCUUCAGUUGAGGUACUUGAACGUUUGUUCGACAUAUAUUAGUGAGCUUCCUAAAGAAAUUGGAGACUUGGUGUAUCUACAGACACUAGAUGUGUCAGACACAUUAGUAUAUGAGAUACCUGAGUCGGCUACUCAGCUAAGACGACUGGAACGCCUGUUUGUUCAGGCUGCAACAAAAUUUCCUGAUGGUAUCGGAAACAUGGAGAGUUUGCAAGACCUUGGGCGCAUAGGCAUCUCUAUGCAAUCACUGAAGUUUCUGGAAGAGCUUGGGAAUUUAUCAGAUCUGAGGAAGCUGUCCAUUCUUUGGGACUCAGGUAAAAUUGAGAAAGCAAGUUGCAAGAGAGAAAAGCUAGUGUCCUCCAUCUGCAAAUUGGAGAAAUUCAAGCUUCACAGCCUCUCUGUUAUGUUUUGUCUGAGAGAAGACGAUGCAGUCUCCACAAGUCAUCCGUUCUUCUUCCCUGCUCUCAACAGCAUCCGCCGUAUUUAUAUUAGAGCUGGGGAAAUCUGUUGGAUUAGUAGAUGGUUGGUGUCACUUAAAAACCUAGAAACUUUAACUGUGUGGAAAGGGAAGACGGACCAGCAUGACGUUGAGAUGGUUGGAAGCAUACCUAAUCUGCUUGAGUUCAAUCUGCCGGCUACACGCGUGGGACCCAUCACCAUCAACAGUGGACUAUUCAGAAAGCUACAACUAUUUGUUUUUAAUAUGAUGGGGUUGAGGAUGAUUGAAGCAGGGGCUAUGCCGGAUCUCAGGUGGCUUGACCUCGGCAUCGACCUACAGAAGUUCAAAUUUACCAGUGGUGAUUUUGAUUUUGGCAUCCAUCACCUCUCCAGCCUUUGUUGGUUUCGGGUCUCCAUGAAUUGCGAAGGCGGGAGGGCUGCAGAUGCGAAGGUUGUGGAGGGUGCAUUCAAGACUAUGGCCCGCGAGCACCCCAACCGCCCUACAUUAGAGAUAAGGCGGUUUGAUGAAGAUCAAAUGAUACAAGCUGAUGAGCCAUGA
rnacentral:rRNA from 1 species